rnacentral:rRNA from 1 species
CUAUUGUACCCUGUUGCUUCGGCGGGCCCGCCGCUUGUCGGCCGCCGGGGGGGCGCCUCUGCCCCCCGGGCCCGUGCCCGCCGGAGACCCCAACACGAACACUGUCUGAAAGCGUGCAGUCUGAGUUGAUUGAAUGCAAUCAGUUAAAACUUUCAACAAUGGAUCUCUUGGUUCCGGCAUCGAUGAAGAACGCAGCGAAAUGCGAUAACUAAUGUGAAUUGCAGAAUUCAGUGAAUCAUCGAGUCUUUGAACGCACAUUGCGCCCCCUGGUAUUCCGGGGGGCAUGCCUGUCCGAGCGUCAUUGCUGCCCUCAAGCCCGGCUUGUGUGUUGGGUCGCCGUCCCCCUCUCCGGGGGGACGGGCCCGAAAGGCAGCGGCGGCACCGCGUCCGAUCCUCGAGCGUAUGGGGCUUUGUCACAUGCUCUGUAGGAUUGGCCGGCGCCUGCCGACGUUUUCCAACCAUUCUUUCCAGGUUGACCUCGGAUCAGGUAGGGAUACCCGCUGAACUUAAGCAUAUCAAUAAGCGGAGGAAAAGAAACCAACCGGGAUUGCCUCAGUAACGGCGAGUGAAGCGGCAAGAGCUCAAAUUUGAAAGCUGGCUCCUUCGGAGUCCGCAUUGUAAUUUGCAGAGGAUGCUUUGGGUGCGGCCCCCGUCUAAGUGCCCUGGAACGGGCCGUCAGAGAGGGUGAGAAUCCCGUCUUGGGCGGGGUGUCCGUGCCCGUGUAAAGCUCCUUCGACGAGUCGAGUUGUUUGGGAAUGCAGCUCUAAAUGGGUGGUAAAUUUCAUCUAAAGCUAAAUACUGGCCGGAGACCGAUAGCGCACAAGUAGAGUGAUCGAAAGAUGAAAAGCACUUUGAAAAGAGAGUUAAACAGCACGUGAAAUUGUUGAAAGGGAAGCGCUUGCGACCAGACUCGCCCGCGGGGUUCAGCCGGCAUUCGUGCCGGUGUACUUCCCCGUGGGCGGGCCAGCGUCGGUUUGGGCGGCCGGUCAAAGGCCCCUGGAAUGUAGUGCCCUCCGGGGCACCUUAUAGCCAGGGGUGCAAUGCGGCCAGCCUGGACCGAGGAACGCGCUUCGGCACGGACGCUGGCAUAAUGGUCGUAAACGACCCG